CCUACGGGUGGCAGCAGUGAGGAAUAUUGGUCAAUGGACGAGAGUCUGAACCAGCCAAGUAGCGUGAAGGAUGACUGCCCUACGGGUUGUAAACUUCUUUGAUAAAGGAAUAAAGUGAGGCACGUGUGCCUUUUUGUAUGUACUUUAUGUAUAAGGAUCGGCAAACCCCGUGCCAGCAGCCGCGGUAAUACGGAGGAUGCGAGCGUUGUCCGGUUUGAUUGGGUUUAAAGGGUGCGCAGGCGGAGGCACAAUUCAGCGGUAAAAUCGCGGGGCUCAACCCCGCUGCGCCUUUGAAACUGUGUCCCUUGAGUGCGCGAAGGGUAGGCGGAAUGCGUGGUGUAGCGGUGAAAUGCAUAGAUAUCAGGCAGAACUCCGAUCGCGAAGGCAGCCUACCGGCGCGCAACUGACGCUCAUGCACGAAAGCGUGGGUAUCGAACAGGAUUAGAUACCCGUGUAGUC
rnacentral:rRNA from 1 species